UUAUGAAGAUAACUAUUAUAUUAUGACCGAUACAUAGGAUGAGAAGUAUCAGAGGUAGAUAAAAUAUGAAGUGGAUAAAAUAAGGAUCAUGGUUACUUAAUACUACAAAGAUUGAGUGCAAUAGUAUUUCAUAGAUUCACAAGAAUGAGUAAUUUGUUUAUAUCGAGGUGAAGUAAAACAAACAAUGGUAACAUAAGGAAAAAAACUAAGAAAGGAUAAUUUAUAUUGAUUAAUAUUAAGUAAUGGUAUACAUUAAGAAUGCCUUGGAUAUGAGAGAUCCAAGAGGAAUUGAAUUGAAGGAGUAUAGUACACAAUUAUAUUUGACCUAAGUCCAUAAAAGGUAUGAACUAGGGAGAAUAGGUUACUGG